CCGAGACUCAGAGGGAGAGAGAGUGGUCAAAAUUUGUGAGGCUUCCGAAUGCGAAGAUGAAGACGAUGAUGGUGCUGGUAUUGGAAAGCCUGACCUAGCUAGAGUUCAAAAUUAUCGAAUCGAUGAUCUACCAGAAGAGAUAAACAAGAGUCGAAAGGGGUGGCUUGGUCCAUAUGUUGGGAAAAGUGGUUGUCUUGAAUCAACAAAAGCCAUUUUUUGGAGACAGGCUUCAAUCUCAGCAAAGAAUUCUCAGAAACCAGCCAUCGGGAAUUGGGGCAUCCGAAUGCUUAUCUGCCAUAUUUGAGAAUGAUUCUUUCCUUCAACAAUGCUCUCAGAAAUAUCUCCUUUCUACUUCCUCUUUGUUUGAGGGUCCUUCUAACCCUAAACUUUCAAAGGCAACAAGGCAUUAAUGGGACAGUUCUUGAAACACAGGAAAGAUGCCUCCAAAUCCACAUGUUCCCACAUUUCCUAAUAAUACGGGCUGAGGGGAAGCUAGCUACUUAUUUGAGCAGAAGAAGGAAGGGAGUCUGCCAGAAUAGACCAAUUUGGGACGAACUUGAUCAAGGAUCCGUUUGAAAACCUUUCUCUUGUGGACUUAAUAUAUGCAGAAAGUCUCCUUCCUUUCAUAUUGAUUGCAGGAGCUGAUGAUAAGCAGAGCUAGGAGAAGAAGCUGUGAAGCCAGUGCAACUGCAUUGGCUUACUCGAUAGACCUAUUGGCAGAUAACUUAAUGGCCUGCUAACAGGUCGUGUAGAACCGUACCCUUAAUUUUAGGUAGAACAUGGUUGGAGUGCAAUGAUAUAUAUCUCGCAGCAAAUCAAGUCCCCUUCGUAUAUGCAAAUCCUAAAUGCAUGUAUUCCCAUUUUUGUCUGUGGCUAUUGUCAUGGGCUUAGUAUGUUAUCCUUCCUUUCAGAACAGUCCAAACUUGGGACGAAUUUGAUGAAUGAAGAUCUGUUUCAACACGUGUAUGGCGGACUUAAUGCAUAAAUAGAAAGCCUCCUUCCUUGUAAGUAUAGUACACCAGCUUUACUUCUUUUUGGUGUGUAUUCAUCCGAAGUAUUUGGAAUUAUGGCAGCUACGAAUUAUUGUCUUCAUCUGAACCAGUGGACUCUCUCCAGCUUUCGGUCCACUUCCAAUCCCUAUUUGCUUUCAAAGCAUGAAAUUCUUUUAAAAAAAGAGACAAAUUUUAAGCUUAGUGCCAAUUUAGGCAUGGUGCAUACCAUGUGCCUCUAAGAAUAGGUACCUUAGGCUUUGUACCAAAGUCUGUUUUUUGUUGAAUGAUAAGUC